GACAGAGGGUGCAAACGUUGUUCGGAAUUACUGGGCGUAAAGCGCGUGUAGGCUGCUCUGCAAGUCGGAUGUGAAAGCCCUGGGCUCAACCUAGGAACUGCCAUUGAAACUGUUUAGCUUGAGGACGAGAGAGGUGAGUGGAAUUCCCAGUGUAGAGGUGAAAUUCGUAGAUAUCGGGAGGAACACCAGUGGCGAAGGCGGCGACCUGGACAGAUAUUGACGCUGAGGUGCGAAAGCGUGGGGAGCAAACAGG
rnacentral:rRNA from 1 species